rnacentral:rRNA from 1 species
GAUGAACGCUGGCGGCGUGCCUAAUACAUGCCAGUCGAGCGAACAGACGAGGAGCUUGCUCCUCUGACGUUAGCGGCGGACGGGUGAGUAACACGUGGAUAACCUCCCUAUAAGACUGGGAUAACUUCGGGAAACCGGAGCUAAUACCGGAUAAUAUAUUGAACCGCAUGGUUCAAUAAUGAAAGACGGUUUUGCUGUCACUUAUAGAUGGAUCCGCGCCGCAUUAGCUAGUUGGUAAGGUAACGGCUUACCAAGGCGACGAUGCGUAGCCGACCUGAGAGGGUGAUCGGCCACACUGGAACUGAGACACGGUCCAGACGCCUACGGGAGGCAGCAGUAGGGAAUCUUCCGCAAUGGGCGAAAGCCUGACGGAGCAACGCCGCGUGAGUGAUGAAGGUCUUCGGAUCGUAAAACUCUGUUAUUAGGGAAGAACAAAUGUGUAAGUAACUAUGCACGUCUUGACGGUACCUAAUCAGAAAGCCACGGCUAACUACGUG